CCUGUGGUGACAGCUGGAGAUCGAGACCGCCGAUUAAUGCAGAAACUCUGCAGCCCCCUACCCGCAUUCAAAGAAGGCACUGUUCUCAUUGCUACCUUCAGUUCAUGGUUUCCGUCUCCACCUCACCUUGCCUUUCUCCAGACUCUCCCCAUCAGUGCGCAGCUGCUGCUGUUUGCUCUCUGCAUCUGCCUUUUUUUUUUUCUCUCUCUCAGCUCGGCAGCCAUGAAGAGGACGCUCAGCCACAGCUCAUUUUCAGAUAAGAUGUAUCCGAGGAGAGAGCAGAGGUUUGUACAGCAGGCAGAAUCACUACACGCAGGUUAACCUAUAAUGAGCAGCUUGGCAUCAGCAUGGAAGAAGAAGAAGAAGAUGGAAAAGAAGUGAGGAUCAAUUCAAACCAUAUGAGAUGAUGCAGGACAACUGAAACAUGAGGAUCUGAGGACAUCUUGUGCACGAACAGGAUUCAUCUCAGGGCACCAAUCAGGAUGCUGGAGGAUUCCAAGAGCAGGACAGGUUAUGUGUUAUCUUUGUCAAAAUUACCAGCAUGUAUUUGAUCAGUUAUACUUUUAUAAAGCCUUUGUUAAACUGCUUGCUUCAGCAGUCCUGCCUUAUAAAAACAGCUCUAAAGAACACAAUAAAAUGCAAGAAGAGGUAGCCCGAUCCCUUUGGGACGUCUUAGUAGGACAGCUGGGUUGUGUCCCACUUUUCUGCUGCUUUGUGUUCUGUGCUCUUCUCCAGUUACACUGGUUUGAAAAGCAGACUGGGCCUGACAGGACCUCAUUGUUCCCCUGCUGGCAUCUCUCUGUCUCCCUCUGCUGUGCUGCCUUAAAGACUGGAGCCCUCAGCUUUACACGACUCGAGCGUGGGGCCAUUUCUGCUGCUCCGCACCUUCAGAGGGAAAAUAUCUGUGUUACAAUCUUUCCUUGCCGAGAGUCGGCUUCUGCAGCUUCUGUGCAUCAGUGGGAAAAAAAAAGAUAAUGGAGCCACUGCUUUGUCAUCAUUGUCUGUUUAAUCUUCUUUAAUAUGAUAGUAUUUCAUGGAUCGUGUAUCAUUUACAGCCGUGUUCCAUAGUUUUCAUUUACCCAUUCAGCUCUUGUUUUUUUAUCUAUUAUUCAAGUAACUUUUUCUUUACAAUUUAUCCACCUCUUUCUGUAUGCUUCAUAAGAAAAGGUGUUUUGAAGUAUUUUCUUGGUAGCCUUUUUUAUGAAAGCUGGCAUGCAAUGAGACCUGCUUAGCUCACAUAUUUUAGGCCCACAAGGAUGAAAAUAUUAUGUGUUAGUGUGUGAGAAUGACUGGUUUUCUCACCUUCUAAUAAUGUGUAAAUCACACGUUUUUUUUGUGUGUUUGUUGUGAAACCUCUAAAGUUUAAAGUGUGAUAGCAACUAUUUUUACUAUGCCUUUCACAACACACUCUGCAGCGCCUAUGUGGGACUGUGGGCGGGUGUCUGUGCGAGUGCAUGUGUUUUUUUCUUUCUUUGCAUGUGCUCUAUUUGUGGAUGUGUUUCUUUGCAAGUGUGUGUGUGUGCAUGUGUGUCACAUGGGCCUAAUAAGAUGGAUUGGUAAUGGGCCUGAAGCUGAAGCUACAAGUCUUUUAGUGACUGAAUGCACCGGAUAAGGGAUCAAACAUUAUUUACUAAUGAUUCUUAGCAUUUGUUACAGCCUCAUUAAAGCCGUAGUUGCACUUUAAAUCUCAAGGAUAUCAUUUGGAAUUAGUGGGGUGCAGUUUACUGAAUGAUGCCUGCUGGCUUUCACUGAACUGUUCCGCUGCCAGCAGCUCCAUCAUUUAACACUUAAGCAAAUUACCGCAAAUGCUAAUAAUUAUGUGUAAAUAGCCGUUUUAUCCAGGUCUGGUGUGCACUAACAGAAACCUGACUAAUAUCUAACAGUACUAAUAUCUGCUAACAGUUGGAGGAUUACUAACCUGUGCUGAGAAUGCUGAUGACUUUUCUAACCAACCUACUAACCAUCUGCUUUAUACUGCCAGUCUGAGGCACGCACUACUCUCACAUGAUCCUGCAAUCCUUCAUUCAGGAGUGUCCCAUUCAGAAGAACCCAUCAAGAAAUUCUCCACCCAAAAAAAAAAAAAAAAAAAACUUAAAGAGAUCAUGUGAAAGAAGGGUUUCAGGACCUGGGGGGAGGGAAACUUUAAUAAACCGAGGAUAAAAAGAGGAGCAGAAACAGCUGCUGAUGUCAGUUUUGGUUGACCACACACUUGAGCAGAAUCAUAAAAAAAACAAGAUUCUGAUCUAAUUUCAAGUUCUUUUUUUUUUCCAGGCUAAAUAUUCAUUUUAAAAUCUUAUGUGUGCUUUGUGUGGUCAGCCUCAGUCGGUGAGUGCCUGGUUUUCUGUCACUGCCACUAUGACAGAAGCUACGCAAACCUGAGCUUUAAUACUAACCUUUAACAGUUUCCACUUUAACAACUAGGCUAUGGUCCUCCUGUUGCUCUUACUAACACCUUGCAUUUGUUUUAUUUAAGUAGAUCUUAAGCAUGCCUUGUAGUCUCAGUGUUUACAUUAUCUCAUCACAUCGAGCUCCCCGCUAUAACUUUUAAUUACCCAAAUAUGAGUUUAUUAGCUCUGGUGGUCCCACACAAAAAAAUAAAAAGAUUGUGUCUCUGAAAACACUGUGAAUUGUUACUAACAUGCACACUAACAAACUAACCUACUAAUGAACUAAUCUUCUAACAACAACUAACCUAAACCAGAGAAGCAUCUUUAAACCGAGGAGCUAACAAGAUGAAGGAGUGUCUAAAUGUGUGUUUGAGAUGGACGUGUGUGAAUCUGUAUUCAAGAUGAGAGCAGAGUCAUCAUAUGUUCAGUCAGCCAAGGUGACAUCAGGAUAUGUCUUCUUUUAUAUAAACUUUUUAUCAGCUGUAUUAAUUCUUUAUCUUCGUUAGGAGCUCAGAAAUAAACCCUGCUUUUAUUGUAUUUUUUUCUUAAAUGAAAGACAAAAUUAUUUUAAAGCAGAAUUAUGUUUGGAACAUGUUUUUUCUAUCUUGUGCGUACACAUGGAAAACCUAUUGUUUUUACAAUGUAUAAAGAAAAUAACAGUUUGUCAUCUUGUCUUAU